rnacentral:tmRNA from 1 species
GCCGGAGCCACCGGCGCGGGAGCCGGCGCGACGGGCGCGGGGGCGGGCGCAGCUGCCGGGGCCGUGACGACCGGUUCGACGGCGGGCGCUUCCACCGGCGCCUGCACCGGCGCGGCGGGGACCGAAGCCUCGAUUGCGGGUUGCACGGCGACCGGCGGAGUCGCUUCGGGAGCCGUCUGGACCGGUUGCGCGACGGGUUCAGCCGCGGCUUGGGUCAGGGGCUCGAUCGCGGGCUCAGCCGCGCGCUCAACGGCGGGCUCAGCGGCGGCCUGGACAGGUUCAGCCUUGGGCGCUUGAACCGGUUCGGCCGGGGCUUGCUCGGGCUGCGCGGCGGUCUGCACGGGCUGGGCCGGCGCUUGAACCUGCUGGGCCGGGGCGGGCGCUGCCU